AUUGAACGCUGGCGGCAGGCCUAACACAUGCAAGUCGAGCGAGCGGCGGACGGGUGAGUAAUGUCUGGGAAACUGCCUGAUGGAGGUGGAUAACUACUGGAAACGGUAGCUAAUACCGCAUACCAUCAGAUGUGCCCAGAUGGGAUUAGCUAGUAGGUGGGGUAACGGCUCACCUAGGCGACGAUACCUAGCUGGUCUGAGAGAAUGACCAGCCACACUGGAACUGAGACACGUUCCAGACUCCUAUGGGAGGCAGCAGUGGGGAAUAUUGCACAAUGGGCGCAAGCCUGAUGCAGCCAUGCCGCGUGUGUGAAGAAGGCCUUCGGGUUGUAAAUCACUUUCAGCGGGGAGGCUUGACCCGCAGAAGAAGCACCGGCUAACUCCGUGCCAGCCGCCGCGGUAAUAC
rnacentral:rRNA from 1 species